UACGGAGGGUGCAAGCGUUACUCGGAAUUACUGGGCGUAAAGCGUGCGUAGGCGGCUCGUUAAGUCUGAUGUGAAAGCCCUGGGCUCAACCUGGGAAUGGCAUUGGAUACUGGCGACCUAGAGUGCGGUAGAGGGGUGUGGAAUUCCCGGUGUAGCAGUGAAAUGCGUAGAUAUCGGGAGGAACAUCUGUGGCGAAGGCGACACCCUGGACCAGCACUGACACUGAGGCACGAAAGCGUGGGGAGCAAACAGG
rnacentral:rRNA from 1 species